CCUACGGGAGGCAGCAGUGAGGAAUAUUGAGCAAUGGGCGCAAGCCUGACUCAGCAACGCCGCGUGGAUGAAGAAGGCCUUCGGGUUGUAAAAUCCUUUUCUGCGGGACGAUGAUGACGGUACCGCAGGAAUAAGUUCCGGCUAACUACGUGCCAGCAGCCGCGGUAAAACGUAGGGGACAAGCGUUAUCCGGAUUUACUGGGCGUAAAGCGCCCGUAGGCGGCUAGCCAAGUUGGCUGUGAAAGCUCCCGGCUUAACUGGGAGAGGUCAGUCAAAACUGGUUAGCUGGAGGCUGGAAGAGGAGAGCGGAAUUCCCGGUGUAGUGGUGGAAUGCGUAGAGAUCGGGAGGAACACCAGUGGCGAAAGCGGCUCUCUGGUUCAGCCCUGACGCUGAGGGGCGAAAGCGUGGGGAGCGAACGGGAUUAGAUACCCUUGUAGUC
rnacentral:rRNA from 1 species